rnacentral:rRNA from 1 species
GUCUACGGCCAUACCACCCUGAACGCACCUGAUCUCGUCUGAUCUUGGAAGCUAAGCAGGGUCGGGCCUGGUUAGUACUUGGAUGGGAG